UACAUAGGUCUCAAGCGUUGUUCGGAUUCAUUGGGCGUAAAGGGUGCGUAGGCGGCGCCGUAAGUCGGGUGUGAAAUUUCGGAGCUUAACUCCGAAACUGCAUUCGAUACUGCGGUGCUUGAGGACUGGAGAGGAGACUGGAAUUCAUGGUGUAGCAGUGAAAUGCGUAGAGAUCAUGAGGAAGACCAGUGGCGAAGGCGGGUCUCUGGACAGUUCCUGACACUGAGGCACGAAGGCCAGGGGAGCAAACGGG
rnacentral:rRNA from 1 species